GUACACGCUGUGACUAGCAUAUCAAUAAGCGGAGGAAAAGAAACUAACAAGGAUUCCCCUAGUAACGGCGAGUGAAGCGGGAAGAGCUCAAAUUUGAAAUCUUAAAGGGUUUCCCUUUACGAAUUGUAGUUUAAAGAAGUGUUUUCUGUUGAGGUUUUGGUAAAAGUUCUUUGGAAUAGGACAUCAUAGAGGGUGAGAAUCCCGUAUUUGACCUUUACUUUCAACUUUGUGAUACACUUUCAAAGAGUCGGAUUGUUUGGGAAUGCAGUCCAAAAUGGGUGGUAAAUUUCAUCUAAAGCUAAAUAUUGGCGAGAGACCGAUAGCGAACAAGUACCGUGAGGGAAAGAUGAAAAGAACUUUGAAAAGAGAGUUAAACAGUACGUGAAAUUGUCAAAAGGGAAGCGUUUGACACCAGUGUUGUUUUUCUGAAAAUCAAUUAAAGAACUGUUUAUGCUAAGUUGUUUAGACUUUAUUAGCUAAUCUGUUUAGUUUUGAGCUUUUCUUUAAUGCACUUUUCAGUUAACAAGUCAACAUCAAUUUCUUUUGCUGUAAAAAAGCUUGAGGAAGGUGGCUUGAGAUUCGUCUUAAGUGUUUAUAGCCUCUUGCCUAUGCAGUCGGAGAGAUUGAGGUCUGCAGCGUAGAUCCUUCGGGGCUAAAUGCAUUUGUGCUAAGUUAUAGCAUUUUAGUAGACAACUUGUUGACUAUGAUUUGUCUUGUAGCUUACUCGCUUAUGUUAUUUUACCUACGCUAGGAUGUUGAAGUCAUCGUAUCGCGC
rnacentral:rRNA from 1 species